rnacentral:rRNA from 1 species
UAGGGAAUCUUCGGCAAUGGGGGGAACCCUGACCGAGCAACGCCGCGUGAGUGAAGAAGGUUUUCGGAUCGUAAAGCUCUGUUGUUAAGGAAGAACGAGUGUGAGAAUGGAAAGUUCAUACUGUGACGGUACUUAACCAGAAAGGGACGGCUAAUUACGUGCCAGCAGCCGCGGUAAUACGUAAGGUCCGAGCGUUGUCCGGAAUCAUUGGGCGUAAAGGGUACGUAGGCGGGUAAGCAAGUUAGAAGUGAAAUCCUAUAGCUCAACUAUAGUAAGCUUUUAAAACUGCUCAUCUUGAGGUAUGGAAGGGAAAGUGGAAUUCCUAGUGUAGCGGUGAAAUGCGCAGAUAUUAGGAGGAAUACCGGUGGCGAAGGCGACUUUCUGGCCAUAACCUGACGCUGAGGUACGAAAGCGUGGGUAGCAAACAGG